rnacentral:rRNA from 1 species
AAACCAGCACCUCAAGUGGUCAGGAUGAUUAUUGGGCCUAAAGUAUCCGUAGCCUGCUCUGUAAGUUUUCGGUUAAAUCUGUACGCUCAACGUACAGGCUGUCGGGAAUACUGCAGAGCUAGGGAGUGGGAGAGGUAGACGGUACUCGGGAGGAAGUGGUAAAAUGCUUUGAUCUCUCGAUGACCACCUGUGGCGAAGGCGGUCUACCAGAACACGACCGACGGUGAGGGAUGAAAGCUGGGGGAGCAAACCGGAUUAGAAACCCGAGUAGUCC